AAUUGUGAUUGAACACGUAAGACCAGAGUCAAAUAAUAAUAAUAAUAAUAAUAAUAACAACUGAGCUUAAAUAUAUUGGAUCGAUGGUUUGAUUUUAAUGAGUAAUAAUUAGUGCUAAUAAGCUGGAUCGUUAAAUUUGAUAUCAUGGUUGGUCUACCUGUUGGAAGCGUGAGAUGGAUCUCACAUCGCAAAAUGAUUUUAGUUUAGAAAAUGACUGAAAAAUUGGGUCGGAUGAGAAUGUCAGAGCCUAAACGACAAUUUUUUUGACACCCCAAUAGUCUCACAUCGGUUGAAAAAAUAUUUAUGAUUGAUGGUAUAUGGAUAAAAAACUAUAGUAAUAAUAACUAAGGUUAAUUAUUUAGGACCAGUAAUUUAGGCUGAAUGAGUUAUUACGCUAGUAGGAAUAAUUAGAUGAAAAUCGAAGCGAAAGUAUGUAGAAAUACUUUAUUCUAAGUUUUUUGUCGGAUUGCAAAAUUUAUAGUUUAACUGAACAAG
rnacentral:lncRNA from 1 species